GAUGAUGAGUUUAUUUUAACGGCUUAUGAUUCAUGAUUAUAAUCUGUGCAUCACCACUCUGAA
rnacentral:snoRNA from 14 species